rnacentral:rRNA from 1 species
CACCCUACGGGGCGCAGCAGUGAGGAAUAUUGGUCAAUGGGCGGAAGCCUGAACCAGCCAAGUCGCGUGAGGGAAUAAGGCCCUACGGGUCGUAAACCUCUUUUGCCGGGGAGCAACGGGGUCCUUGCGAGGGCCCGAUGAGAGUGCCCGGAGAAAAAGCAUCGGCUAACUCCGUGCCAGCAGCCGCGGUAAUACGUAGGUGGCAAGCGUUAUCCGGAAUUAUUGGGCGUAAAGAGCGCGCAGGUGGUUAAUUAAGUCUGAUGUGAAAGCCCACGGCUUAACCGUGGAGGGUCAUUGGAAACUGG